UCCCCAGUAGCUCAGAUGGCAGAGCGUUCGGCUGUUAACCGAAAGGCCCCUGGUUCAAUCCCAGGUUGGGGAG
rnacentral:tRNA from 1 species